rnacentral:rRNA from 1 species
UACGGAGGGUGCGAGCGUUGUCCGGAAUCAUUGGGCGUAAAGGGCGCGUAGGUGGCGGGACAAGCGUGCGGUGAAAGCUCGGGGCUCAACCCCGCGUCGGCCGUGCGAACUGUUUUGCUUGAGCACUGUAGAGGCAGGCGGAAUUCCGGGUGUAGCGGUGGAAUGCGUAGAGAUCCGGAAGAACACCGGUGGCGAAGGCGGCCUGCUGGGCAGUAGCUGACACUGAGGCGCGACAGCAUGGGGAGCAAACAGG